rnacentral:rRNA from 1 species
UGAGGAAUAUUGGUCAAUGGAGGCAACUCUGAACCAGCCAUGCCGCGUGCAGGAUGACGGUCCUAUGGAUUGUAAACUGCUUUUGUACGGGAAGAAAAAGAGCUACGUGUAGUUUAUUGACGGUACCGUAAGAAUAAGGAUCGGCUAACUCCGUG